rnacentral:rRNA from 1 species
CUACGUGCCAGCAGCCGCGGUAAUACGUAGGUGGCAAGCGUUGUCCGGAAUUAUUGGGCGUAAAGCGCGCGCAGGUGGUUUAAUAAGUCUGAUGUGAAAGCCCACGGCUCAACCGUGGAGGGUCAUUGGAAACUGUUAAACUUGAGUGCAGGAGAGAAAAGUGGAAUUCCUAGUGUAGCGGUGAAAUCCGUAGAUAUUAGAAGGAACACCGAUGGCGUAGGCAGGUUACUGGGCCAUUUCUGACGCUAAGGCACGAAAGCGUGGGGAGCGAACCGGAUUAGAUACCCGGGUAGUCCACGCCGUAAACGAUGGAUACUAGUUGUUGGAGGUAUCGACCCCUUCAGUAGCGAAGCUAACGCGUUAAGUAUCCCGCCUGUGGAGUACGGCCGCAAGGCUAAAACAUAAAGGAAUUGACGGGGACCCGCACAAGCGGUGGAUUAUGUUCUUUAAUUCGAUGAUAACCGAAGAACCUUACCAGGGCUUGACAUCCAG